GAUGAACGCUGGCGGCGUGCUUAACACAUGCAAGUCGAACGGAAAGGCUCCUGCUUGCAGGGGUACUCGAGUGGCGAACGGGUGAGUAACACGUGGGUGAUCUGCCCUGCACUUCGGGAUAAGCCUGGGAAACUGGGUCUAAUACCGGAUAGGACCACAUUUUGGAUGGUGUGGUGGAAAGUUUUUCGGUGUGGGAUGAGCUCGCGGCCUAUCAGCUUGUUGGUGGGGUAAUGGCCUACCAAGGCGUCGACGGGUAGCCGGCCUGAGAGGGUGUACGGCCACAGUGGGACGAGGGAGCGGCCCGAACUCCUACGGGGGGAAGAGGUGGGGAAAUGUGAAAAAGGGGCGAAGGCCGGAUGCAGGGACGCCGGGUGGGGGAUGACGGCCUUCGGGUUUGAAAAUCCUUUCGCGAGGGACGAAGGGGAAGGGACGGUACCGGGAAAAAAAGCACCGGCAAACUACGU
rnacentral:rRNA from 1 species